rnacentral:rRNA from 1 species
AUGACGACACACAAGAUUGAGAACGCCGAAUUCACAGUUUUGACAGUCAAGAAACGCCGACAGUGCACUCUUGAUGAUGUGUUGAACUACGGGGCACAGUUUGUGUCAUUUUUUAACGAGUGUCUGAAUGCAUUUACUGGUUUGACGCGCCUCUACAUGGAGAAUUUGAGAUUUGUUGAAUCUGACUUCGUCUCCAACAUCUUCGUCACUUGCAAGCGAUUAAACUACUUAGGUUUUCUCAAUUGCGACACACAGAAGCGUUUAACACUCCAGGUUGAACACGCUCAGCUCAGUGAGCUCAGUAUGGUCAACUGCCGUUUUUACAAAGUCGAACUCAAGUGGCUCCCAAGACUCACCCGGACAACGUUCACAUGUUGGAUGGAUUUCGAAGAACUACCACUGUCAUUUGGUCAUGUCCCACUGCUCGAGUUUUUGAACCUCACAAAUGUUGGUCUUAGUCGGCACAAAAUGGUCAUGUUAAGUACAUUACUUUGUGAGACACACAUACAAGAACUGCGGUUGGGGUUUAAAUGCGAAAAGAUUUGGGUUCAACCAGAGUGUCUGAGCGAAAGGCUGGCAUCUGCGUUCCACAGACUAAGGAUUGUCAGUCUAGUUUGCAUUCCUGAAGGGUCUGAUCUCAAGUGGACAAAUUUCAUUCUGGAAGCUGCGCCAUCACUUGAAGAGUUGUACAUGUCGGUAAUUGAUCAUCCGUGUGAAAUGAUAAUUGAUCCGAAAAUGAGGAUGGAACUCUCGCUUAGCGAGAACAAGGGCGUCGAGUGGGAAUCACCUAGACCACAUUUCAAGCACCGCCGCCUUGCCAAGCUCGUCAUCUUUUGCUUUGUAAAUUACAUGGUGAGUUAUGUCAGGCGUGUCAUGAUAGCAGCGGUGAAUCUGAAGGAUGUGUACCUGUAUGAUAGACUGGCAUGUAGCAAGUGCAAACACAUGGCCGUUUUUAAGCCUGGUAGGCUUCCACGGGCAAAGAAGAAGUUGAAAGCGAUGAAGAAGCUGUUGGCCCAGGGCAUCGAGUCAGCUCCCAGAAUUCACUUGCAGACCCAUUCUGAAAUGGACGCUGACCAUGCUGCAAGGAUUAAAGACUACUUAUGUUCAUGA